rnacentral:rRNA from 1 species
CGGAGGGUGCAAGCGUUAAUCGGAAUUACUGGGCGUAAAGCGCACGCAGGCGGUUUGUUAAGUCAGAUGUGAAAUCCCCGGGCUCAACCUGGGAACUGCAUUUGAAACUGGCAAGCUAGAGUCUCGUAGAGGGGGUAGAAUUCCAGGUGUAGCGGUGAAAUGCGUAGAGAUCUGGAGGAAUACCGGUGGCGAAGGCGGCCCCCUGGACGAAGACUGACGCUCAGGUGCGAAAGCGUGGGGAGCAAACAGGAUU